UACGUAGGUGGCAAGCGUUGUCCGGAUUUACUGGGCGUAAAGAGCGCGUAGGCGGUGUGUCAAGUCAGGCGUGAAAGCCCCGGGCUCAACCUGGGAACCGCGCUUGAGACUGGCACGCUAGAGUUCGGGAGAGGAUGGUGGAAUUCCCAGUGUAGAGGUGAAAUUCGUAGAUAUUGGGAAGAACACCGAUGGCGAAGGCAGCCAUCUGGACCGACACUGACGCUGAGGCGCGAAAGCGUGGGGAGCAAACAGG
rnacentral:rRNA from 1 species